GGGAUUGCCUUAGUAACGGCGAGUGAAGCGGCAACAGCUCAAAUUUUAAAGCUGGCGUCCUCGACGCCCGCGUUGUAAUUUGGAGAGGCAUCUUCGGUUUGGGCGCCAGCCUAUGUUCCUUGGAACAGGACGUCACAGAGGGUGAGAAUCCCGUGCUUGGCUGGCUGUCCCUCUCCAUGUGAAGUGUCUUCGACGAGUCGAGUUGUUUGGGAAUGCAGCUCAAAAUGGGUGGUAAAUUUCAUCUAAAGCUAAAUAUUGGCGGGAGACCGAUAGCGCACAAGUAGAGUGAUCGAAAGAUGAAAAGCACUUUGAAAAUAGAGUUAAAAAGUACGUGAAAUUGUUGAAAGGGAAGCGCUUGAGACCAGACUCGGCCGGAGACGAUCAGCGGUCCUUUUGGGCCGUGCACUCGUCCUCGGUUGGGCCAGCAUCGGUUGAGACGGCGGGAUAAAGGCCUGGGGAAUGUGGCUCCUUUCGGGGAGUGUUAUAGCCCUGGGUGCAAUGCCGCCAGCCUCGACCGAGGACCGCGCUUUAUUGCUAGGAUGCUGGCGUAAUGGUCUUCAGCGACCCGUCUUGAAACACGGACCAAGGAGUCUAACAUCUAUGCGAGUGUUUGGGUGUCAAACCCUUGCGCGUAAUGAAAGUGAACGUGGGUGGGAACCCCUCGUCAGGGGGGCGCACCAUCGACCGAUCCUGAUGUCUUCGGAUGGAUUUGAGUAGGAGCAUAGCUGUUGGGACCCGAGAGAUGGUGAACUAUGCCUGAAUAGGGUGAAGCCAGAGGAAACUCUGGUGGAGGCUCGCAGCGGUUCUGACGUGCAAAUCGAUCGUCAGAUUUGGGUAUAGGGGCGAAAGACUAAUCGAACCAUCUAGUAGCUGG
rnacentral:rRNA from 1 species